rnacentral:rRNA from 1 species
CACAUUCAAAGAGUGCGUAAUAGCUCACUAGUCGAGAGGUCCUGCGCCGAAAAUUUCCGGGGCUAAAACACGAUACCGAAGCUUAGGAAUGUAGCAAUACAUUGGUAGAGGAGCAAUCUCAGAGUGCCGAAGCGUUACCGUAAGGAAGCGUGGAGUUCUGAGAAGAGAGAAUGCCGGAAUGAGUAGCGAGAAUGAUGUGAGAAUCAUCAUGGCCGAAUAUCCAAGGAUUCCAGGGUAAAGCUGAUCUGCCCUGGGUAAGUCGGGACCUAAGGCGAGGGAGAGAUCCGUAGUCGAUGGACAGCAGGUUCAUAUUCCUGCACCUGACAUGAUCAGAACUGUGGGGACACAGGAACGAAACCGGACCCGGGAGAGCAAAGACCGGGCGAAGCGAAGCUAGGAGUGUGGUAGGCAAAUCCGCCAUACAAUCCGAAAGCGUGAUAGGGAGCGAAAUAUAAGUAGCGAAGCCGGUGGAGGGACUGUCGAGAAAAGCCGCUAUUGUAUCAUGUCAGCCCGUACCGCAAACCGACACAGGUGGAUGAGGAGAGAAUCCUAAGGCCGGCGGGAGAAGCAUUGUUAAGGAACUCGGCAAAAUGACCCCGUAACUUCGGGAGAAGGGGUGCUGCAGAGAUGCAGCCGCAGAGAAAAGGCUCAAGCAACUGUUUAGCAAAAACACAGGUCUAUGCGAAACCGUAAGGUGAGGUAUAUGGGCUGACGCCUGCCCGGUGCUGGAAGGUUAAGAGGAGAGGUUAGCGCAAGCGAAGCUUUGAAUUUAAGCCCCAGUAAACGGCGGCCGUAACUAUAACGGUCCUAAGGUAGCGAAAUUCCUUGUCGGGUAAGUUCCGACCCGCACGAAAGGCGUAAUGAUUUGAGCGCUGUCUCAACAAUGCACCCGGUGAAAUUGAAGUACCAGUGAAGAUGCUGGUGACCUGCGCCAGGACGGAAAGACCCCAUGGAGCUUUACUCCAGCUUGAUACCGGGAUUCGGUGUUACUCGUACAGGAUAGGUGGGAGGCUAAGAAGGAAGGACGCCAGUCUUUCCGGAGCCGCUGUUGGGAUACCACCCCUGUGGCACUGGAUUUCUAACCUACAUCCGUGAUCCGGAUGGGGGACAAUGUCAGGUGGGGAGUUUGACUGGGGCGGUCGCCUCCGAAAGAGUAUCGGAGGCGCUCAAAGGUUCCCUCAGAAUGGUUGGAAACCAUUCGAAGAGCGCAAAGGCAGAAGGGAGCUUGACUGCGACACCGACGGGUGGAGCAGGUACGAAAG